rnacentral:rRNA from 1 species
GACGAACGCUGGCGGCGUGCUUAACACAUGCAAGUCGAGCGGGUAAGGCCCUUUCGGGGGUACACGAGCGGCGAACGGGUGAGUAACACGUGGGUGACCUGCCCUCAGCUCUGGGAUAAGCCUGGGAAACCGGGUCUAAUACUGGAUAUGACUCCAUGACGCAUGUUGUGGGGUGGAAAGCCUUGUGCGGCUGAGGAUGGGCCCGCGGCCUAUCAGCUUGUUGGUGGGGUGAUGGCCUACCAAGGCGACGACGGGUAGCCGGCCUGAGAGGGCGACCGGCCACACUGGGACUGAGACACGGCCCAGACUCCUACGGGAGGCAGCAGGUGGGGAAUUGUUCGCAAUGGGCGCGAGCCUGACGACGCAACGCCGCGUGGAGGAUGAAGAUUUUCGGAUCGUAAACUCCUGUCGAGUGGGAAGACAGCUUUCGGGCGAAUAUCCUGAAGGCCUGAC